CGGGUGCCGGCGCUGGAAGCGGGGCGGCGCCUGGGCGCUGCCGGGGCGGACGUGGAGCUCGGGGGCUCCUCCGGGGGUCACUUCUCAGGCGAAGGCGGCGGGGCCGGGGCUGACCGGAGCCGUCCUGAGGGAGGUCGCCCAGCAGCAGCAGCAGCAGCAGCAGAAGUCAACAGGAGAAGAAGAUGGGAAAGGCUCUGAUGAACAACAAGAGAAGACGAAAAAGCAGAAUCCUGCCUAUACAAAGAGACUGCUGCAGAUAGUAGGCCUUCUCGGAGCUGGCAAUGGCAUAGCAAUUAUCUACAUCUUUGGUCGUAAUUCAGUGGAUGAAAAUGGUGCAAAGGUAGGAUGCUUUAUUAUCUAAAAUAAGUUUUCUUGUUAACUAGGUGGCUGCCACUAGGGGUCGUUCAGUGUUCAAAAGAUGCUGGGCAGUCUAAAGUCA
rnacentral:lncRNA from 1 species